rnacentral:sRNA from 1 species
AGCAGCGGCUAGCAGCCCCAAGCAAUAAAUACAUAAAACGUAACAAAUUCAAAAGAAGACAGAACCGAAACAAGACAACACAAAAAAAUUUAUUAAAAAAUUACAAAAAAAUUCAACACAAGUAAAAGCUGAAGCUAAAAAGCAAUUAAAACAAAUUGUGCCGUAAGUCAGGUUGGUGGGCGAACGGCCCGGGCCCCCCAACUCCCGUUCCAACAAAAACAACAACAAAAACAACACUCCACCUAAAGCAACAGCAACAAAGAAACAGAAACUGAAACUGAAACUCUCCACCGCACAAAAAGGUAAGCGAAAUUCAGAACGGUAAAAGGGAAUUAUUUAAUUAAUAUUUCAUAAAAUACAAUCAAAAUGAAACUCUCUGAAUGGUAGAGUCUCUUGCCACGUUGCCACCUGCAUACUUUAAGGGUGAAACGAAACGAAACAUAAAUAAAUACAUAUUAUACCAUAUUAUUACAUAUAGGACUCGUUGUCCUGCUAUUCCCACUUGAAGCCGCAUAUCAUUUUGCACUCGAUUGCAUUUGAUUCGAUUUCCGUUGAAAAUUAUGCGUACAAAAAAUGAAAAAGGAACAAUAUGAAAAAAAAAACAAGAAAAAUGAUGCCAGCAAUUUAGCAAUAU